GACGAACGCUGGCGGCGUGCUUAACACAUGCAAGUCGAACGGAAAGGCCCUGCUUUUGUGGGGUGCUCGAGUGGCGAACGGGUGAGUAACACGUGAGUAACCUGCCCUUGACUUUGGGAUAACUUCAGGAAACUGGGGCUAAUACCGGAUAGGAGCUCCUGCUGCAUGGUGGGGGUUGGAAAGUUUCGGCGGUUGGGGAUGGACUCGCGGCUUAUCAGCUUGUUGGUGGGGUAGUGGCUUACCAAGGCUUUGACGGGUAGCCGGAAUGAGAGGGUGACCGGCCACAUUGGGACUGAGAUAAGGCCCAGAAUCCUACGGGAGGGAGCAGUGGGGAAUAUUGCAAAAUGGGCGGAAGCCUGAUGCAGCAACGCCGCGAGCGGGAUGAAGGCCUUCGGGUUGUAAACCGCUGUCGCCUGUGACGAAGCGUGAGUGACGGUAAUGGGUAAAGAAGCACCGGCUAACUACGUG
rnacentral:rRNA from 1 species